CCGAGUGAGGGCCCCCGGCCCGACCUCCAACCCUUUGUGUUUCUGACUGUGUUGCCUCGGGGGCGACCCGGCGCGUUUAUCGCGUUGGGGCCCCCGGCGGACCCCAACCCACUCUUGCGUCCCGACGUCGGUUCAAUUGAUGAAUAUCAAA
rnacentral:misc_RNA from 2 species